CAUUCUUUUGUAUCAUAUCGAACUCAUUAGUAGGCACUAAAAUUUUUUCGGUCAGAACUUCAUUUACGUGUUUAGUAAAAAUUGAAAUAAUGUAAUCGAGCGCAAUUGAAUCGAAACGCGAUGAAUUUUGAGUGUUAUGAAUUGGGCAUCCUAGAGCAUCGUCCAUCUCAACAAUGGCAAGCAGUUUGGAUUUAAAAUUCAUCUCAAAGCAAAUUUUCGAUCGGUCUUGCAUUGGAUGCAUUUAACUCCUUUAAUAAAUUUUGCAUAAAUGACGCUUGCAACAUGAGAUAGAGUUUCGUCUUUUAAAGAGCAAAUUGAAUCGUCUGGAUCGUGUCCCUCACUUGAACCAUCCGAAUUUUGAUUGGCAGCAAAAAAUUUGUGAACGUUUUGUAGGAGACCCGAAUCAAAGUCUUGCUCGCAAUUUGACUUCAGCGAAUGUCUUUUAACGAGACCUGUGACUAUUAUAGUUGCAAAUGCAGUUUUGAACUGGCGUGUUGAUGGUGCAACAGCGAUGUGGCAUACACUUCGAAUUAGACCAAAGAAAUUUUCCAGACCAUCCUGAUUAAAUCUUCGUGGUGAAAAGGACAUAAUGUCGUAUUGUAACAGUGUCUUUUUUAUUUCUUGAAACCCGCGUAUUGUUGAAACCAAUCGAUCAAGAAUCUUGCAUUUUUUGCUUGCUUGACCAACAUUAUCACCGGCUUUGAAUAUGAAAUCCAUUUUUUUAAGCAUAGUUACAGCAU